CCAAGAAGUUUAAUAAAUAGUAAAAAUAUAGCAGAAAAGGAAAUAAUAAUAGGAGUUAGAAAAAUAAAAAUAGAAUUCGAAGUAAAGGAAGAAAUGCAAAAAGCAGAUAUAAUAUUAAGGCACCUAUAUAUUAUAAAAGCAAGUUUAAAAAAUAUAAUGAAUAUGACAAAUGGACACCAAAACAAAUAAUUAAUAAAAAUUAUAACUUUUUAGACCU
rnacentral:lncRNA from 1 species